rnacentral:rRNA from 1 species
GACGUAGGGCGCGAGCGUUGUCCGGAUUUAUUGGGCGUAAAGAGCUCGUAGGCGGCUUGUCGCGUCGAAUGUGAAAUCUCAGGGCUCAACUCUGACAUUGCAUUCGAUACGGGCAGGCUAGAGUUCGGUAGGGGAGAUGGAAUUCCUGGUGUAGCGGUGAAAUGCGCAGAUAUCAGGAGGAACACCGGUGGCGAAGGCGGGUCUCUGGGCCGAUACUGACGCUGAGGAGCGAAAGCGUGGGGAGCGAACAGG